rnacentral:rRNA from 1 species
GGCCUCUUGUUUGUAUAUGAGGUCUGACCUGCCCGGUGAAAUUAUUUUAACGGCCGCAGUAUUUUGACUGUGCAAAGGUAGCAUAAUCAUUAGUCUUUUAAUAGGGGGCUGGAAUGAAGGGUUUGACGAGGUGUUAACUGUCUCAUUAAAUUUGUUAUUAAAAUUUAACUUUUCAGUUAAAAGGCUGAAAUUUUAUUGGAAGACGAGAAGACCCUAUAGAGCUUUAUAAUUGAAGAUUUAAUUAUUAUUUGUUUAUUAUUUUUUAUUAUUUCUUUAAUUAUUCUGUUGGGGUGACAAAAAUAUAUAAUUAACUUUUUUAUUUAAUUAACAUUGAUUAAUGAAUAUUAGAUCCAAUCUUAUUGAUUGUUAGAUUAAGUUACCUUAGGGAUAACAGCGUAAUCUUCCUUCAGAGUUCAUAUUUACGGGAAGGCUUGCGACCUCGAUGUUGGAUUAAGAUAAUAGUUAGGUGUAGCCGCUUAAUGUAUAGGUCUGUUCGACCUUUAAAUUCUU